UCGCGGGUCAGGUAGGAUUUUAAAACCCUCCAAAAUAAAGGAUUAUGAUCCACGAGGGAUUUUGAACAAUCAAUCUUACUUAUUUUAUUUAUAAUUUCCGAUCUCGCUUACAAAUUAAAGCCUAUUUUUUCUCUCUCCCAUUGAAAAAUUAUGAAAUUAGAUUUUGUCCUUUACAUAAAGUGGGGGAAAGCAAAAUUUCUAAAAAUUUGAAUUAAUUCAAUUUCAAAAAUCAAAUCAGAAGAUAUCUCUAAAAUUUAAAUCUGAUUUUUGAGGGAAAGUCUGUGAAAUAGCUAUUAGCCAUUUGUCGCUAAUCUAUUGCUCUCUGCAAAACCACAAAGUAGCUGAAUUUAAAUAAAAUAAUUCAGCAAUUAACAAAAUUAAAGUUAAAUUAAAUAAAACAAUAUCAGAUCUAACUUUUCAUUUGCUUUUCAACUUUCCUUAAUAAUAAGAAAAAAAAAAACUUUCUAACAAAAAUUCUUUCAUACACAAUUAGAUACACAAUUACAAAAAUUAAUUCUCAUCUCUCUAUAUACCAAUCUAGAAUUUCAAUUUCUUUCUUUUUUUUCUUGUCCCUUUUAAUCUAAAAAAAAAAAAAAAGUUCUUUUUCUAAAGAAAAAAAAAAAAAAAAAAAAAGAGUUAAAAAGAAGAUUUUUUCAAAAGAAAAAAAAAAAAAAAAAAAAAAAAAAGGACUGAAGUAGGAGAAGAAGAAGAAGAAUCAACCAUCCAUCAAAAGGGAACAACCUCACUGCAAAUAAAAUCAUCGGAAUUGGCAGAAGAAUCCUCCGGCCACGAGUCCCGAAGCAAUUUCAACAACAUCUGUGCCUUUCUCUUUGCUC
rnacentral:lncRNA from 1 species